rnacentral:rRNA from 1 species
CUGUCUUAUUUAUAAAAAUUGAAUUUGACUUUUGAGUGAAAAGGCUUAAAUAUUAAAAAGGGACGAUAAGACCCUAUAAAACUUUAUAUAAAGUAAAUUUUUUAUUAUAAUUAUUUGUUUAGUAAUAAAUAGUUUAUUAAUAUUUUAUUGGGGCGAUAGGAAUAUAGAUAGAUAACUGUUCUUUAAUUUAAAAACAAAGAUUAUUGUUUUGAAUGAUCCUUAGUAAAGAUUCAAAGGUAAAGUUACUUUAGGGAUAACAGCGUAAUUUUUUUUGAGAGUUCUUAUCGACAAAAAAGAUUGCGACCUCGAUGUUGAAUUAAAAUUUCUCUAUGGUGCAGGAGCUAUAGAAGAGAGUCUGUUCGACUUUUAAAUUUUUA